CAGAUAGCUGAACCACAUUUGUGGUGAUGAAAGGUUUGGUCAGAAAAGGAGGCUGGGGUAAAACAGCAUCUAUUCUGUCAUUUGAAGAAUGGGAAGGAUUUUGCUAGAACAAGAGAGGGUGGGAAAAUAAGAAAGGAAAAUAGAACAUUUUAGGGAAAGGGAAUAGUGUGUGCAAAGAUGAAGAAGUAUAAAAGAAAAUGUAGCUUAUUCCAGAAACUGCUAAAAGGAUCAAUAUGCUGUCGUGUCAUGAGAGAGCCACAAUUCUUCAAACAUAUUUAACUGCUGGAGAGAAUGGCUCAGAAUCCCAGGUAUCAGCUUCAGCACACGGAGGAUAUAUCCUUGGUUUCCUGCAAUGAUGUCUGAUGAAGAUCUCUUCUUGGCCCUUGACAGAAGAAGCAGAGUAACUUUUCUUAGGUGGCAUAAUUCUUCAAAAUGUGUUCAUUUUGAAGAACAGGGGUGAUGGAUGGUAAUACACAGGCAGGGAUCAACAGUCCCAGAACUGAAGGAAGAGUUGACAAAUGUAUCAAAGAUGCCUAAUCAAAAUGUGUCCACAUUCUGCUAA
rnacentral:lncRNA from 1 species